rnacentral:rRNA from 1 species
AUUGAACGCUGGCGGCAUGCCUUACACAUGCAAGUCGAACGGUAACGGGCCUUCGGGUGCCGACGAGUGGCGAACGGGUGAGUAAUGCAUCGGAACGUACCUUUCAGUGGGGGAUAACGUAGCGAAAGUUACGCUAAUACUGCAUAUUCUGUGAGCAGGAAAGCAGGGGAUCGCAAGACCUUGCGCUGAUUGAGCGGCCGAUGUCAGAUUAGCUAGUUGGUGAGGUAAAGGCUCACCAAGGCGACGAUCUGUAGCGGGUCUGAGAGGAUGAUCCGCCACACUGGAACUGAGACACGGUCCAGACUCCUACGGGAGGCAGCAGUGGGGAAUUUUGGACAAUGGGGGCAACCCUGAUCCAGCCAUGCCGCGUGAGUGAAGAAGGCCUUCGGGUUGUAAAGCUCUUUCGGCCGGGAAGAAAUCGCACGGGCUAAUACCCUGUGUGGAUGACGGUACCGGAAUAAGAAGCACCGGCUAACUACGUGUCAGCAGCCGCCGUAAAAC